rnacentral:rRNA from 1 species
AGGAAUACCGGCGAGAAAUCGCCGACAAUACCGCAUAGGCUUCCUUUACGGGAAGCAAAGCCGCAAGGCGCUUGAGGCGGGGUCUGCGUCCGAUUAGCUAGCUGGUGGGGUAAUGGCUCACCAGGGCGACGAUCGGUAGCUGGUCUGAGAGGAUGAUCAGCCACACUGGGAUUGAGAACGGCCCAGACUCCUACGGGGGGCAGCAGUGAGGAAUCUUCGGCAAUGGGGGCAACCCUGACCGAGCAACGCCGCGUGCAGGAAGAAGGUUUUCGGAUCGUAAACUGCUUUUCUGUGGGACGAGCAAGGACGGUACUACAGGAAGAAGCCCCGGCUAACUACGUG